rnacentral:lncRNA from 1 species
AAAUUAUAUCUUUUUUAUACUUCUCCUUCUGUAAGGACCUUAAAAAGCCAAUUUUCCUGCCCACACAGUGUUCUUUGUCUGAGCUUGCUUUCAGUUGAAAGGGACAUUCUGUGGGAAUUUCACUUUUGUUUGUGUGUCUGCUCUCUGCAAUGACUUUAUUGACCACAUAAAGAAUGAUGAUUUCUAUUUUUUUUCCAGUAGCUCUUUCAAGAGACUCUUCUGAAGCCUGGUUUGAUUUGGAGGGGGAAAAGGGCUCAAGAUAACAGAAAACUUCCGGGAAUUCACCUCCAGCCAAACUUCCCUGUUCCUCAAACCACCUUUGGACAAAUUGUAAUUUUGGUGUAUAAAAAACACCAAGGAACAAAACAAAAAGGAAUGCUACGGUCUAAAAUAAACUAAAAAAUUAUGCACCAACACAGAAGAGCAGGUAAGAAUAUUUUAUAUAGAGCUGAGCUCUUUAAAAAUAGUA